CCUACGGGAGGCAGCAGUCUAGAAAUCUGCGCAAUGGUCGAAAGCCUGAAGCAGCGACGCCGCGUGAGGGAUGGAGUCUUUCGGGAUGUAAACCUCUGUCGAGGGGAACGAUUAUGACGGUACCCCUCGAGGAAGCCUCGGCUAACUCCGUGCCAGCAGCCGUGGUAAUACGGAGGAGGCAAGCGUCGUCCGGAAUCACUGGGAGUAAAGGGCGUGUAGGUGGCCUGACGGGUCAGGUGCGAAAUCCGGUUGCUCAACAGCCAAAGCGCAUCUGAAAAUAUUGGGCUUGAGGACAUGAGGGGAGAGUGGAACUCGCGGUGUAGCGGUAGAAUGCGUGGAUAUCGCGAGGAAUGCCGAUGGCGAAGGCGGCUCUCUGGUGUGUUCCUCGUAGAGGAACUAGUUGAUUUAGUUUUCACUGAUUGGAUUGACUGGUCCGGCCACUGACACACGAAAGCUGGGGGAGCGAACGGGAUUAGAUACCCCCGUAGUCCCAGCCCUAAACUAAGUACACUUGGCAUACGUCUUCAGAUGUGUGCCGGAGGUAACCUGUUAAGUGUACCGCCUGGGGACUACGCUCGCAAGGGUGAAACUCAAAGGAAUUGACGG
rnacentral:rRNA from 1 species